CUAUGUUCCUCAUGUUCCUUUUCACUUGCUGACAAAGUCCACAAGAGCCAUUGUGCAAAAUGAUUUUUGGGACAUGGAAGGACAAAAGUGAUGCACUAGUUGUGUCCUCCAAAUUCAGUUUAAAAAAGGCCGCAUUCAGAGGACACUUUGGGCUGGGACAGCCUCGUCGAGAGACUAUAAUGUCUGCAACUUUUGAAGGAGGUAGAACCUGAACUGGGACACAGCCACAAUCCCCCAUGCUGAAGAAAAUGAUGUUGCCUAUCAUCUGUGUAUACCACCAUCUAGAGACAAGGUCGACGGGCAGACAGAUCAAGGAGUUCCUUCAAACGUUUCUCUCAUUUUUGCUGAUAUUAUCAUACACAUUCCUCUCACUACUUAGCAAAGCACUCAAUCCUUGACAAGGUCUGGCUGCCAAUUAAGAUUACUGUCUUGAUCUGUCUCACUAUUUCUCUCUCUGCCCUAGAUGAUUGACACUGGCUUUUCCUCUGUUACUUUUUGGCCAUAGUAAACCUUAAAUUCAUAAUAAUCCUGAAGGAAUGAGUGGCAUUCUCUGUAUCAGGCCAUGCCAGC
rnacentral:lncRNA from 1 species